AGCGAACGCUGGCGGCAGGCCUAACACAUGCAAGUCGAACGAACCUUUCGGGGUUAGUGGCGGACGGUUGAGUAACACGUGGGAACGUGCCUUUAGGUUCGGAAUAACUCAGGGAAACUUGUGCUAAUACCGAAUGUGCCCUUCGGGGGAAAGAUUUAUCGCCUUUAGAGCGGCCCGCGUCUGAUUAGCUAGUUGGUUGAGGUAAUGGCUCACCAAGGCGACGAUCAGUAGCUGGUCUGAGAGGAUGAUCAGCCACAUUGGGACUGAGACACGGCCCAAACUCCUACGGGAGGCAGCAGUGGGGAAUCUUGCGCAAUGGGCGAAAGCCUGACGCAGCCAUGCCGCGUGAAUGAUGAAGGUCUUAGGAUUGUAAAAUUCUUUCACCGGGGACGAUAAUGACGGUACCCGGAGAAGAAGCCCCGGCUAACUUCGUG
rnacentral:rRNA from 1 species